rnacentral:rRNA from 1 species
GUUUGAUCCUGGCUCAGGAUGAACGCUGGCGGCAUGCUUUAACCACAUGCAAGUUGUACGGUCUCUGAAAAUUGGGGUAGUAACGAACGGGUGAGUAAUUUGCAAGAAUUGACAUUUAGGAGGUGAACAACAUUUGGAAACGAGUGCUAAUGCGCCAUAAUGCUAUAAAGUUAAAGAUACACAAUAUCGCCUAGAUACAAGCUUGCAACUGAUUAGCUUGUUGGUGAGGUAAUGGCUUACCAAGGCUUUUAUCAGUAGCUGGUCUUAGAGGAUGUACAGCCACACUGGAAAUGAGAUAUGAACAGACUCCUACGGGAGGCAGCAGUGAGGAAUCUUCCGCAAUGAGUGAAAGCCUGACGGAGCAAUGCCGCGUGGAGGAUGAAGGCCUUAGGGUUGUAAUCUCCUUUUCUCACAGAAGAAUUUUUGACGGUAUUUGAGGAAUAAGCAUCGGCUAACUUCGUGCCAGCAGCCGCGGUAAUACGAGGGAUGCAAGCGUUAUCCGGAAUUAUUGGGCGUAAAGCGUUUGUAGGCGGGCGGGUGUGUUUAAUGUUAAAUCUUAAAGCUCAACUUUGAAAUUGCGUUAAAAACUGCUUGUCUUGAGUAUGGUAGGGGUAAAGGGAAUUCCCAGUGUAGCGGUGAAAUGCGUAGAUAUUGGGAAGAACAC